rnacentral:rRNA from 1 species
GACGAACGCUGGCGGCGUGCCUAAUACAUGCAAGUAGAACGCUGAAGGAGGAGCUUGCUUCUCUGGAUGAGUUGCGAACGGGUGAGUAACGCGUAGGUAACCUGCCUGGUAGCGGGGGAUAACUAUUGGAAACGAUAGCUAAUACCGCAUAAGAGUAGAUGUUGCAUGACAUUUGCUUAAAAGGUGCACUUGCAUCACUACCAGGUGGACCUGCGUUGUAUUAGCUAGUUGGUGAGGUAACGGCUCACCAAGGCGACGAUACAUAGCCGACCUGAGAGGGUGAUCGGCCACACUGGGACUGAGACACGGCCCAGACUCCUACGGGAGGCAGCAGUAGGGAAUCUUCGGCAAUGGACGGAAGUCUGACCGAGCAACGCCGCGUGAGUGAAGAUAGGUUUUCGGAUCGUAAAGCUCUGUUGUAAGAGAAGAACGAGUGUGAGAGUGGAAAGUUCACACUGU